GCCAAUCAGAAGCAGACCCUCCCUCCCAGACCCUCCCACUUCCUGGACAGCUCACUAAGAAUGCAGCUUCACAAUGAAUGUAAAAUAGAUGCUGUCCAGGAGGUGGGAGGGUCUGGGAGGGAGGGUCUGCUGCUGAUUGG
rnacentral:miRNA from 1 species